AUUGAACGCUGGCGGCAUGCUUUACACAUGCAAGUCGAACGGUAACAGGCCUUCGGGCGCUGACGAGUGGCGAACGGGGGAGUAAUGCAGCGUAACGUACCCAGAGGUGGGGGAUAACGCAGCGAAAGCUGUGCUAAUACCGCAUGUGAUCUGAGGAUUAAAGCGGGUGACUGAGCAGCAAUUUUUGGCAUCGCGCCUUUGGAGCGGCCGAUGUCGGAUUAGCUAGUUGGUGGGGUAAAGGCCUACCAAGGCGACGAUCCGCAGCUGGUCUGAGAGAACGACAACCACGACCGGGAAAGAGACCAGCACCAGAAUCCUAAGGGAGGACACAGUGGGACACAUUGGAAAACCGGCGCAAGCCUGACCCAGCAAUCACACGUGGGCGCAGCAGGCCUUCGGGCUGUACAGCGCUUUUCGCAGGAACGAAUCGGUGUCCGCUAAUACCGAGCGAUAAUGACGGUACCUGCAGAAUAAGCACCGGCUAACUACGUG
rnacentral:rRNA from 1 species